CCUACGGGCGGCACCAAUGGGGAAUAUUGCACAAUGGGCGCAAGCCUGAUGCAGCCAUGCCGCGUGUAUGAAGAAGGCCUUCGGGUUGUAAAGUACUUUCAGCGAGGAGGAAGGCAUUAAGGUUAAUAACCUUGGUGAUUGACGUUACUCGCAGAAGAAGCACCGGCUAACUCCGUGCCAGCAGCCGCGGUAAUACGGAGGGUGCAAGCGUUAAUCGGAAUUACUGGGCGUAAAGCGCACGCAGGCGGUCUGUCAAGUCGGAUGUGAAGUCCCCGGGCUCAACCUGGGAACUGCAUUCGAAACUGGCAGGCUAGAGUCUUGUAGAGGGGAGUAGAAUUCCAGGUGUAGCGGUGAAAUGCGUAGAGAUCUGGAGGAAUACCGGUGGCGAAGGCGGCCCCCUGGACAAAGACUGACGCUCAGGCGCGAAAGCGUGGGGAGCAAACAGGAUUAGAUACCCCGGUAGUC
rnacentral:rRNA from 1 species